CACUAAGAAGCUAAAUGGACCCAGCGUUAGCCUUUUAAGCUAAAGAUUGGUGCUUUACAAACACCCUUAGUGA
rnacentral:tRNA from 1 species